rnacentral:rRNA from 1 species
CAGCAGCCGCGGUAAUACGUAGGGUGCAAACGUUAAUCGGAAUUACUGGGCGUAAAGCGUGCGCAGGCGGUUAUAUAAGAAAGAUGUGAAAUCCCCGGGCUCAACCUGGGAACUGCAUUUGUGACUGUAUAGCUAGAGUACGGCAGAGGGGGAUGGAAUUCCGCGUGUAGCAGUGAAAUGCGUAGAUAUGCGGAGGAACACCGAUGGCGAAGGCAAUCCCCUGGGCCUGUACUGACGCUCAUGCACGAAAGCGUGGGGAGCAAACAGGAUUAGAUACCCGGGUAGUCCCUGUCUCUUAUAC